rnacentral:rRNA from 1 species
UACGUAGGGGGCAAGCGUUGUCCGGAUUCAUUGGGCGUAAAGAGCGUGUAGGCGGCCAGGUAGGUCGGUUGUGAAAACUGGAGGCUCAACCUUCAGAGGUCGACCGAAACCAUCUGGCUAGAGUCCGGGAGAGGAGAGUGGAAUUCCUGGUGUAGCGGUGAAAUGCGCAGAUAUCAGGAAGAACACCAAUGGCGAAGGCAGCUCUCUGGGACGGUACUGACACUGAGACGCGAAAGCGUGGGGAGCGAACAGG